rnacentral:rRNA from 1 species
UACGUAGGGUGCAAGCGUUAAUCGGAAUUACUGGGCGUAAAGAGCGCGCAGGCGGUCGUUCAAGUCGCGUGUGAAAGCCCCCGGCUCAACUGGGGAGGGUCACGCGAUACUGAUCGACUGGAAGGCAGGAGAGGGUAGUGGAAUUCCCGGUGUAGUGGUGAAAUGCGUAGAUAUCGGGAGGAACACCAGUGGCGAAGGCGACUACCUGGCCUGUUCUUGACGCUGAGGCGCGAAAGCUAGGGGAGCAAACGGG